rnacentral:rRNA from 1 species
ACGGGGUGCAGCAGGCGCGAAAACUUUACAAUGCUGGAAACAGCGAUAAGGGAGCCUCGAGUGCCGAGAUACAAUCUCGGCUGUCUAGCUGCCUAAAAAGCAGUUGAUAGCAAGGGCCGGGCAAGACCGGUGCCAGCCGCCGCGGUAACACCGGCGGCUCGAGUGGUAACCGUUAUUAUUGGGUUUAAAGGGUCUGUAGCCGGCCGGAUAAGUCUCUUGGGAAAUCUGGCAGCUCAACUGUCAGGCUUUCAGGAGAUACUGUUCGGCUCGAGACCGGGAGAGGUGAGAGGUACUUCAGGGGUAGGGGUGAAAUCUUGUAAUCCUUGAAGGACCACCAGUGGCGAAGGCGUCUCACCAGAACGGAUCUGACGGCAAGGGACGAAAGCUGGGGCAGCGAACCGGAUUAGAUACCCGGGUAGUCCCAGCUGUAAACGAUGCUAGCUAGGUGUUGGGUCGGCCACGCGCCGCCCCAGUGCCGCAGGGAAGCCGUUAAGCUAGCCGCCUGGGGAGUACGGCCGCAAGGCUGAAACUUAAAGGAAUUGGCGGGGGAGCAC